CUACGGGAUGCAGCAGUGGGGAAUAUUGCACAAUGGGCGCAAGCCUGAUGCAGCCAUGCCGCGUGUAUGAAGAAGGCCUUCAGGUUGUAAAGUACUUUCAGCGGGGAGGAAGGGAGUAAAGUUAAUACCUUUGCUCAUUGACGUUACCCGCAGAAGAAGCACCGGCUAACUCCGUGCCAGCAGCCGCGGUAAUACGGAGGGUGCAAGCGUUAAUCGGAAUUACUGGGCGUAAAGCGCACGCAGGCGGUUUGUUAAGUCAGAUGUGAAAUCCCCGGGCUCAACCUGGGAACUGCAUCUGAUACUGGCAAGCUUGGGUCUCGGAGAGGGGGGUAGAAUUCCAGGUGUAGCGGUGAAAUGCGUAGAGAUCUGGAGGAAUACCGGUGGCGAAGGCGGCCCCCUGGACGAAGACUGACGCUCAGGUGCGAAAGCGUGGGGAGCAAACAGGAUUAGAUACCCGGGUAGUC
rnacentral:rRNA from 1 species